GAAUGUGAGGAUGACCUAGCUGUGACAUCUGCCACUCCAUUGAUUGCCAGGGUUGGUUCAGCUGAUCUGGCUGGGUAGGUGGGUAUCCCCUUCCUCCCUCACCACUCCAUGUGUGUCCCUUCUGAAGCUAUGUGCUCGGUCGAAGAGGACGACCUUCCCCAGUAGAGGAGAGGACCAUUCUUCAGUCAAGGGUAUACAAGUAGCUACACUCUCCCGCUAGAACCUCCAGACAAGCUCUCAAAGUCUGGAGUAGUAUGAGAUUAAUCUAGAAAAGUAGUUUGAAUAUGAUAGUAAGGGCCUUUGAAGGCAAUGCUA
ensembl:misc_RNA 7SK 7SK RNA